rnacentral:rRNA from 1 species
CAGCCGCCGCGGUAAAACGGAGGGUGCAAGCGUUAAUCGGAAUUACUGGGCGUAAAGCGCACGCAGGCGGUUUGUUAAGUCAGAUGUGAAAUCCCCGGGCUCAACCUGGGAACUGCAUUUGAAACUGGCAAGCUAGAGUCUCGUAGAGGGGGGUAGAAUUCCAGGUGUAGCGGUGAAAUGCGUAGAGAUCUGGAGGAAUACCGGUGGCGAGGCGGCCCCCUGGACGAAGACUGACGCUCAGGUGCGAAAGCGUGGGGAGCAAACAGGAUUAGAUACCCCAGUAGUCCCUGUCUCUUAUACA